rnacentral:lncRNA from 1 species
GUAUGGCAUCUCUCUGAACCCCCCCGACCGUCCGAGCUUCCGGACUUCUCCGACAAUGAGCUUCUCCAUCCAUCUACCGUGCCGCUCCAAAGGAUCUCUGGGCCUCACUGUCAGCUGACCUUCUACAGUGAUCAACUAUUCUCCGAACUCCUUCCGAACUUCAUCAAUAUCCGAGCUUCUUCGACAAUGAGAUUUCUACAGU